GAUGAACGCUGGCGGCGUGCCUAAUACAUGCAAGUCGAACGCUUCACUUCGGUGAAGAGUGGCGAACGGGUGAGUAAUACAUAAGUAACCUGGCAUCUACAGGGGGAUAACUGAUGGAAACGUCAGCUAAGACCGCAUAGGUGUAGAGAUCGCAUGAACUCUAUAUGAAAAGUGCUACGGGACUGGUAGAUGAUGGACUUAUGGCGCAUUAGCUGGUUGGUAGGGUAACGGCCUACCAAGGCGGCGAUGCGUAGCCGACCUGGGAGGGUGAACGGCCACACUGGAACUGAGAAACGGCCCAGACUCCUACGGGAGGCAGCAGUAGGGAAUUUUCGGCAAUGGGGGAAACCCUGAUCGAGCAACGCCGCGUGAAGGAAGAAGUAAUUCGGUAUGUAAACUUCUGUCAUAGAGGAAGAACGGUGGAUAUAGGGAAUGAUAUCCAAGUGACGGUACUCUAUAAGAAAGCCACGGCUAACUACGUGCCAGCCGCCGCCGUAA
rnacentral:rRNA from 1 species